CUACUUUAGGACUCUAUACUGAGGAGUUCAUGAGUGUUGAGGGGUUCCUCACUUUAUACCAGCACAUCCACUACUCACCAUUUUUAUGCAGGCAGAGUUUACUGCGAGCAUGAUGCCCUAUGACCCGAGUCGGUCGAAGGUGACUUCCCUAUCUCUAGCCUUGCACUAUAUUCAUGUCAUCUUGGCUCACACACUAACCGAUCAGAGGGAGAGAACUAGGGUCAUCGGUACAUUCGAUGCAAAUUUCUUUUGGAGCAUGGCUACGGG
rnacentral:lncRNA from 1 species